GUUCAAAAUGCAGUGAUGUCUUUUCUAAGCAUGUAUCUGAUUGUUCUGUGUGGAAAAUGAGUGUUGCUGUGUAAUUUUUGGAU
rnacentral:snoRNA from 1 species